rnacentral:lncRNA from 1 species
AUUUUUGAAAGACCCCUUUAAAUUUUUAAUAAGUUGAUGUAUGUUGUGAAAUUCAUGAAUAUAUAUUAUUUUCUAUAUGUAAUUAUUUUAAUUUUAUAAUUUACAAAAUAGUUAAUAAAUAUAUCAGGUUAUUUUACAUUUAUUUAUUGCUGUAGUAAUUAUUUAAGAAUGUGAAUAUGUAUAUAUAAACUGUUUUAGAAAUGUUGUCUUACUAUAUAAAUU